CUAUAUUGUAUUAUGCUGACAAUGCAUGACACUCCAUCUUUGUAUUUUAAAUUAAUUUACAUUUUUAAAGCUUACCCAGAGGUGUAUUAAGACAUACAAAUUGUAGAUCAAACCAGAAAUUUUCCACAUCCUGAACACUUUCCAAUUUAUAACAUCUCUUCUCAAAAGGAUUACUUGCUUGAGCAUGGUUGUAGUGUGGAUCACAGGCAGUCGUAUCAACAACUGUUGCUUUUUUCUUUACAUACACAAACACCU